rnacentral:rRNA from 1 species
UGGGGAAUUUUGGACAAUGGGCGAAAGCCUGAUCCAGCAAUGCCGCGUGUGUGAAGAAGGCCUUCGGGUUGUAAAGCACUUUUGUCCGGAAAGAAAUCCUUGGCUCUAAUACAGUCGGGGGAUGACGGUACCGGAAGAAUAAGCACCGGCUAACUACGUGCCAGCAGCCGCGGUAAUACGUAGGGUGCAAGCGUUAAUCGGAAUUACUGGGCGUAAAGCGUGCGCAGGCGGUUUGCUAAGACCGAUGUGAAAUCCCCGGGCUCAACCUGGGAACUGCAUUGGUGACUGGCAGGCUAGAGUAUGGCAGAGGGGGGUAGAAUUCCACGUGUAGCAGUGAAAUGCGUAGAGAUGUGGAGGAAUACCGAUGGCGAAGGCAGCCCCCUGGGCCAAUACUGACGCUCAUGCACGAAAGCGUGGGGAGCAAACAGGAUUAGAUACCCUGGUAGUCCACGCCCUAAACGAUGUCAACUAGUUGUUGGGGAUUCAUUUCCUUAGUAACGUAGCUAACGCGUGAAGUUGACCGCCUGGGG